rnacentral:rRNA from 1 species
UAAACCAUGCACCGAAGCUGCGGCAGCGACACUAUGUGUUGUUGGGUAGGGGAGCGUUCUGUAAGCCUGCGAAGGUGUGCUGUGAGGCAUGCUGGAGGUAUCAGAAGUGCGAAUGCUGACAUAAGUAACGAUAAAGCGGGUGAAAAGCCCGCUCGCCGGAAGACCAAGGGUUCCUGUCCAACGUUAAUCGGGGCAGGGUGAGUCGACCCCUAAGGCGAGGCCGAAAGGCGUAGUCGAUGGGAAACAGGUUAAUAUUCCUGUACUUGGUGUUACUGCGAAGGGGGGACGGAGAAGGCUAUGUUAGCCGGGCGACGGUUGUCCCGGUUUAAGCAUGUAGGCUGAUUAUCCAGGCAAAUCCGGAUAAUCAAGGCUGAGGUGUGAUGACGAGGCACUACGGUGCUGAAGUAACAAAUGCCCUGCUUCCAGGAAAAGCCUCUAAGCAUCAGGUAACAUCAAAUCGUACCCCAAACCGACACAGGUGGUCAGGUAGAGAAUACCAAGGCGCUUGAGAGAACUCGGGUGAAGGAACUAGGCAAAAUGGUGCCGUAACUUCGGGAGAAGGCACGCUGGUGUGUAGGUGAAGCCCCUGCGGGUGGAGCUGAGACCAGUCGAAGAUACCAGCUGGCUGCAACUGUUUAUUAAAAACACAGCACUGUGCAAACACGAAAGU